rnacentral:rRNA from 1 species
GGGGAAUAUUGCACAAUGGGCGAAAGCCUGAUGCAGCGACGCCGCGUGAGGGACGACGGCCUUCGGGUUGUAAACCUCUUUCAGCAGGGACGAAGCGAAAGUGACUGUACCUGCAAAAGAAGCACCGGCUAACUACGUGCCAGCAGCCGCGGUAAUACGUAGGGUGCAAGCGUUGUCCGGAUUUAUUGGGCGUAAAGAGCUCGUAGGCGGUUUGUCGCGUCGGAUGUGAAAACCUAUGGCUUAACCAUGGGCCUGCAUUCGAUACGGGCAAACUAGAGUUCGGUAGGGGAGACUGGAAUUCCUGGUGUAGCGGUGAAAUGCGCAGAUAUCAGGAGGAACACCGGUGGCGAAGGCGGGUCUCUGGGCCGAUACUGACGCUGAGGAGCGAAAGCGUGGGGAGCAAAC